AGAGUUUGAUCAUGGCUCAGGAUGAACGCUAGCGGCAGGCCUAAUACAUGCAAGUCGAACGAGAUUUAUGACUUCGGUUAUAAUGAAAGUGGCGCACGGGUGCGUAACGCGUAUGCAACCUACCCUUUACUGGGGGAUAGCCCGGAGAAAUUCGGAUUAAUACCCCAUGGUAUUUACAGAUGGCAUCUGAAGUAAAUUAAAGAUUUAUCGGUAAGGGAUGGGCAUGCGUGACAUUAGCUAGUUGGUGAGGUAACGGCUCACCAAGGCAACGAUGUCUAGGGGUUCUGAGAGGAUGAUCCCCCACACUGGUACUGAGAUACGGACCAGACUCCUACGGGAGGCAGCAGUAGGGAAUAUUGGUCAAUGGGCGAGAGCCUGAACCAGCCAUGCCGCGUGCAGGAAGACAGCUUUCUGAGUUGUAAACUGCUUUUAUAUGGGAAGAAAAAGGUCCUGCGGGACAAAUUGCCGGUACCAUAUGAAUAAGCACCGGCUAACUCCGUGCCAGCAGCCGCGGUAAUACGGAGGGUGCAAGCGUUGUCCGGAUUUAUUGGGUUUAAAGGGUGCGUAGGCGGAUCUUUAAGUCAGUGGUGAAAUCCUGCAGCUUACUGUAGAACUGCCAUUGA
rnacentral:rRNA from 1 species